rnacentral:rRNA from 1 species
AGGAGAAGUCGUAACAAGGUUUCCGUAGGUGAACCUGCGGAAGGAUCAUUGUCGAGUCCCUGAUCGAAAGACCGCGAACUUGUAAACGGAUGGCUCGGGGUGGUGGGGCCAGCCCCUAUCGCCCCGGGGCCCCGCCUCCUCGUGUGAGGCGUCGCCUUAGACGGGGACGGCGGGGGAACGGACAAAACCCCGGCGCGGCCAGCGCCAAGGAUCAUACAAUUGGAGUUAGAGUGUGCCGCGGCCCUUGCGGCCGUAGGUGCUCCCUAAAGAAUCUUUAAGACUCUCGGCAACGGAUAUCUCGGCUCUUACAUCGAUGAAGAACGUAGCGAAAUGCGAUACUUGGUGUGAAUUGCAGAAUCCCGUGAACCAUCGAGUCUUUGAACGCAAGUUGCGCCCGAGGCCUUUGGGUUGAGGGCACGCCUGCCUGGGCGUCACGCCUCGCAUCGAACCGCACCCUCACUCCCCUCGCGGGUUGGGUGUGGCUUCGGAGAUUGGCCAUCCGUGCACUCGCGCGCGGUGGGCUUAAGAGCGGGUUGCCGGCCGUGCAGGCACGACGAGUGGUGGACCUUGUGCCAACAGGAUGUCGUGUCCCAGGCCGGCGAAGAGCCUAGUACUCCCGGAAUGGGCGUGUAGGUGCCCUCCCGUCUGGGAGGGUGCGCCGCCUCGCACCGUGACCCCAGGUCAGGCGGGGACACCCGCUGAGUUUAAGCAUAUC